CGCAAAUUGCGCCCUUUGGUAUUCCGAAGGGCAUGCCUGUUUGAGUGUCGUAUAGACCUUCACCCGACCAUUUGCUUGGUCGUCGGUGCUUUGGACGUCUUGCCAUUAACCCUGGCUCGUCUUAAAUGUCUGAGUGGAAAACCUUUGACGUGAUAAGUUUUCGUCAAUGACCUUUCACUAUAAUAAACCAUUUUUUAUCUUUGACCUCAAAUCAGGUAGGACUACCCGCUGAACUUAA
rnacentral:misc_RNA from 1 species